rnacentral:hammerhead_ribozyme from 1 species
AGCCAGCUGACGAGUCCCAAACAGGACGAAACGCGCGUCCUGGAU